rnacentral:rRNA from 1 species
GACGAACCGUGCAAACGUUAUUCGGAAUCACUGGGCUUAAAGGGCGCGUAGGCGGGCUGGCCAGUCUGUGGUGAAAUCCCCCGGCUUAACCGGGGAACUGCCGUGGAUACUGCCAGUCUCGAGGAGGGUAGGGGCAUCUGGAACAGCCGGUGGAGCGGUGAAAUGCGUAGAUAUCAAGUGGAACACCAGUGGCGAAGGCGAAUCCCUGGAAAAUACCUGACACUGAGGCACGAAAGCUAGGGGAGCAAACAGG